UGGGCUUUGUGUGCCAAAGACUUAUUAACAUACAGUUAUUUCCCGAAGUAGUGUAAAGUAAAACAUCUGAUCACAGGCUGUUGCUCCAAACUCCUAUCCUUCUUGGCUGUGUGAUGAAAGUCUUCCUCAUGUCUGCUCUGCCGCCUGUCUUGCCAGGGUUUUAAUGGUGAGGGUUCAACCGAGGAUGUUGGAUUUCAGGUCUGACUGCCCUGCUGCUCUCUGACCUACCUCACAUACUGUAUCGUCAUUAAACCACUUCUGUUGGAUUUCAGGUCUGACUUCCCUGCCGCUCUUUGACCUACCUCACAUACUGUAUCGUCAUUAAACCACUUCUGUUGGAUUUCAGGUCUGACUUCCCUGCCGCUCUUUGACCUACCUCACGUACUGUAUCAUCAUUAAACCACUUCUGUUGGAUUUCAGGUCUGACUUCCCUGCCGCUCUUUGACCUACCUCACAUACUGUAUCAUCAUUAAACCACUUCUGUUGGAUUUCAGGAUAAUUGAUGCAUUGUUUUUAUUAGGC
ensembl:lncRNA